rnacentral:sRNA from 1 species
AGGACGUGCCUUUCAGGCAUCCUCUCCUAAACCUUUCAAGGCCGGUCCAUCUGGAUCGGCCCUUUUUUUGUCUGCG